rnacentral:rRNA from 1 species
GACGAACGCUGGCGGCGUGCUUAACACAUGCAAGUCGAACGGAAAGGCCCUGCUUGCAGGGUACUCGAGUGGCGAACGGGUGAGUAACACGUGGGUGAUCUGCCCUGCACUUCGGGAUAAGCCUGGGAAACUGGGUCUAAUACCGGAUAGGAGCCAUUUUUAGUGUGAUGGUUGGAAAGUUUUUUCGGUGUAGGAUGAGCUCGCGGCCUAUCAGCUUGUUGGUGGGGUAAUGGCCUACCAAGGCGGCGACGGGUAGCCGGCCUGAGAGGGUGGACGGCCACAUUGGGACUGAGAUACAGCCCAGACUCCUACGGGAGGCAGCAGUGGGGAAUAUUGCACAAUGGGCGCAAGCCUGAUGCAGCGACGCCGCGUGGGGGAUGACGGCCUUCGGGUUGUAAACUCCUUUCGCUAGGGACGAAGCUUUUGUGACGGUACCUAGAGAAGAAGCACCGGCUAACUACGUG